rnacentral:rRNA from 1 species
GAUGAACGCUGGCGGCGUGCCUAAUACAUGCAAGUCGAGCGAACAGACGAGGAGCUUGCUCCUCUGACGUUAGCGGCGGACGGGUGAGUAACACGUGGAUAACCUACCUAUAAGACUGGGAUAACUUCGGGAAACCGGAGCUAAUACCGGAUAAUAUAUUGAACCGCAUGGUUCAAUAGUGAAAGACGGUUUUGCUGUCUCUUAUAGAUGGAUCCGCGCCGCAUUAGCUAGUUGGUAAGGUAACGGCUUACCAAGGCAACGAUGCGUAGCCGACCUGAGAGGGUGAUAGGCCACACUGGAACUGAGACACGGUCCAGACUCCUACGGGAGGCAGCAGUAGGGAAUCUUCCGCAAUGGGCGAAAGCCUGACGGAGCAACGCCGCGUGAGUGAUGAAGGUCUUCGGAGCGUAAAGCUCUGUUAUUAGGGAAGAACAAAUGUGUAAGUAACUAUGCACGUCUUGACGGUACCUAAUCAGAAAGCCACGGCUAACUACGUG